UUAUUGAAUUGUUAAAGGAUAGGAAGGACCAAAAGUUUUUUAGGAUUUUUACUUGUUUUAGAGGUGAAAUUUGAAUAGUUAAGGUAUGUUGUUGGUCUGGUAGGUUAAAAUUUUUUAAACUAAGGUCUGGGGAUUAUAAAAAACUAAAUGAUUUGGCAGUUUAGCUUUCAUAUUAGGGGAAUUUGCCCUGUAAUGGAGGUUACCCCUUGGAUUUUACUCUAUUUUUCUUUAUAUAUCUCCGUUGAUUAUUUUAAGUAGAUUAGAAAUUUUAAAGGGAUAGUAAGUCAGGUCAAGGUGUAGGUUGAUAGAGGUUGAGGUGAAUUACAUUCAGUUGUCUGAUACGGAUCUUAAAUUAGUAAGAUUAUAGGAAGGUGGACUUAUUUGUAAAAUUUAAUUAUUUUUGUUAAUUUGAUGGUGAUCCGUUAG
rnacentral:rRNA from 1 species